GACGAACGCUGGCGGCGUGCCUAAUACAUGCAAGUUGAGCGCUGAAGGUUGGUACUUGUACCAACUGGAUGAGCAGCGAACGGGUGGGUAACGCGUGGGGAAUCUGCCUUUGAGCGGGGGACAACAUUUGGAAACGAAUGCUAAUACCGCAUAAAAACUUUAAACACAAGUUUUAAGUUUGAAAGAUGCAAUUGCAUCACUCAAAGAUGAUCCCGCGUUGUAUUAGCUAGUUGGUGAGGUAAAGGCUCACCAAGGCGAUGAUACAUAGCCGACCUGAGAGGGUGAGCGGCCACAUUGGGACUGAGACACGGCCCAAACUCCUACGGGAGGCAGCAGUAGGGAAUCUUCGGCAAUGGACGAAAGUCUGACCGAGCAACGCCGCGUGAGUGAAGAAGGUUUUCGGAUCGUAAAACUCUGUUGGUAGAGAAGAACGUUGGUGAGAGUGGAAAGCUCAUCAAGUGACGGUAACUACCCAGAAAGGGACGGCUAACUACGUG
rnacentral:rRNA from 1 species